AUUGAACGCUGGCGGCAGGCCUAACACAUGCAAGUCGAGCGGUAGCACAGAGAAGCUUGCUUCUUGGGUGACGAGCGGCGGACGGGUGAGUAACGCGUGGGAAUCUACCUGGUAGUGGGGGACAACAGUCGGAAACGACUGCUAAUACCGCAUACGCCCUUUGGGGGAAAGUGGGGGAUCUUCGGACCCCACGCUAUCAGAAGAGCCCGCGUCGGAUUAGCUGGUUGGUGAGGUAAUGGCUCACCAAGGCGACGAUCCGUAGCUGGUCUGAGAGGAUGAUCAGCCACAUCGGGACUGAGACACGGCCCGAACUCCUACGGGAGGCAGCAGUGGGGAAUAUUGGACAAUGGGCGCAAGCCUGAUCCAGCCAUGCCGCGUGUGUGAAGAAGGCUUUCGGGUUGUAAAGCACUUUCAGUGAGGAAGAAGGCCUUGGGGCGAAUACCCCCGAGGGAGGACAUCACUCACAGAAGAAGCACCGGCUAACUCCGUGCCAGCAGCCGCGGUAAUACGGAGGGUGCGAGCGUUAAUCGGAAUUACUGGGCGUAAAGCGCGCGUAGGCGGCGUGAUAAGCCGGUUGUGAAAGCCCCGGGCUCAACCUGGGAACGGCAUCCGGAACUGUCAGGCUAGAGUGCA
rnacentral:rRNA from 1 species